AUUGAACGCUGGCGGCAUGCCUUACACAUGCAAGUCGAACGGCAGCACGGGAGCAAUCCUGGUGGCGAGUGGCGAACGGGUGAGUAAUACAUCGGAACGUGUCCAGGAGUGGGGGAUAGCCCGGCGAAAGCCGGAUUAAUACCGCAUACGCUCUAAGGAGGAAAGGGGGGGAUCUUCGGACCUCUCGCUCAAGGGGCGGCCGAUGGCAGAUUAGCUAGUUGGUGGGGUAAAGGCCUACCAAGGCGACGAUCUGUAGCUGGUCUGAGAGGACGACCAGCCACACUGGGACUGAGACACGGCCCAGACUCCUACGGGAGGCAGCAGUGGGGAAUUUUGGACAAUGGGCGCAAGCCUGAUCCAGCAAUGCCGCGUGUGUGAAGAAGGCCUUCGGGUUGUAAAGCACUUUUGUCCGGAAAGAAAACCUCGUGGUUAAUACCCGUGGGGGAUGACGGUACCGGAAGAAUAAGCACCGGCUAACUACGUGCCAGCAGCCGCGGUAAUACGUAGGGUGCAAGCGUUAAUCGGAAUUACUGGGCGUAAAGCGUGCGCAGGCGGUUCGCUAAGACAGAUGUGAAAUCCCCGGGCUUAACCUGGGAACUGCAUUUGUGACUGGCGGGCUAGAGUAUGGCAGAGGGGGGUAGAAUUCCACGUGUAGCAGUGAAAUGCGUAGAGACGUGGAGGAAUACCGAUGGCGAAGGCAGCCCCCUGGGCCAAUACUGACGCUCAUGCACGAAAGCGUGGGGAGCAAACA
rnacentral:rRNA from 1 species